AAUAACAUAAAAACUUAUCAUAUUUAGACAAAAACUUCGCAUUCAAUAUACACAAAAUUAGAUUAGACAAAAAUGGAAUAAAAAACAUAUAUAUAAUAAUAGAAUAAAAUAAUAUCAAAGACAUUAUAAUAAAACAUAAACAACAUAUGAGAAGAGAGAUUAGAGAAGAUGAAAAAAAGAACAUAUGAGAUACGGGAUUGAGAAGAAAUGUGCGAUAAAAACGUAAUUGGAAGAGAAAAUAGUAACAUAAA
rnacentral:lncRNA from 1 species